GGCUUAUGUCCCGAGAAACCUCUGAACCCAAUUAGCCUUGCUUUCCUUCACCUCUGCUUCUUCAGGACUUUUCAGAAUUUCUCAAGCAUUAAGGUGCAUAUUGGAUGUACUUGCUGACCCGUUUGUGGUUGUAGAGACCAUGUUACAAGUGCUGGCUGGAAUGAUGAUAAGAGAAGUCUCUGAAUGACUGAUGAACAGAAGCCCUCUGCCCCACUGAUAGACCUGUCACAUAAACAUUAAAAACAAAGGCAGCUGGUGGAAGCCAUCGGACUGCAGCAUCUGCUACUUGAAGCACAACACCACAGGAGGCUUUUUUUCUGUCUCUGACAAUCAGGAUU